rnacentral:rRNA from 1 species
UACGGGGGGAGCAAGCGUUGUUCGGAUUUACUGGGCGUAAAGGGCGCGUAGGCGGCCUCCGCAAGUCAGUUGUGAAAUCUCCGAGCUUAACUCGGAAAGGUCAACUGAUACUGCGGGGCUAGAGUGCGGAAGGGGCAACUGGAAUUCUUGGUGUAGCGGUGGAAUGCGCAGAUAUCAGGAGGAACACCGAUAGCGAAGGCAGCUCGCUGGGACGGUACUGACGCUGAGGCGCGAAAGCGUGGGGAGCGAACAGG